rnacentral:rRNA from 1 species
GAUGAACGCUGACAGAAUGCUUAACACAUGCAAGUCAACUGUGGCGGACGGGUGAGUAACGCGUAAAGAACUUGCCUCACAGCUAGGGACAACCUUUGGAAACGAAUGCUAAUACCUGAUACUGUGAGAGAGCUUUGCGUCCCAUUAGCUCUUUGGAGAGGUAACGGCUAACCAAGGCGAUGAUGGGUAGCCGGCCUGAGAGGGUGAUCGGCCACAAGGGGACGGAGACACGGCCCUGACGCCUACGGUAGGAAGCAGGGGGGAAUAUUGGAACAUGGACCAAAGUCUGAUCCAGAAAUUCGGUGGGCACGAUGAAGUUUUCGGAAUGUAAAGUGCUUUCAGUUGGGAAGCGGUACCAACAGAAGAAGUGACGGCUAAAUACGUGCCAGCAGCCGCGGUAAUUC